GUUUUUUGUUUUAGGCAAAAUUUAGUAGAUUUACCUAGACCCUAAAAUUUGUAUUAUUUUCUGAUGAGGUUUAAAAAAUGAAAAAAAAAAUGUUUUCAACUUAGAGGUUCUCUUUUUGUUUCAUCUGACUUUUAAACAUCUCAAACUUUACACAUAUGAUAAUGAAAAAGAAAUUGGAACAUGUGUGUGCCCUCUGGAAGUGUGGCGAGCCCUUGGCACUGUGCCUCGUGGAGAAAUUGGCCCUGGAGGGAAGCAUUACUAUCACAGUUUAGUGAUAAGAAAAGCAAAGCCCAGAGAGGUCGCAUCUUUUACAUAGUCACGUGGCUUGAGAGAGGUGGAGUCAGGUUCUCACUGGGGUGGUCUGCCUCCUUGCCUCCGGUCUUCACUGUCCUCAGUGAGACUUCAGAGCGCCCAGGGCCUCAGUGCUGUGCAGUGAGUACCCAAGGGGCAAGGCCCACCUGAGUCAGUCGGUCUCAGUGGAGCCGAGACAUCGCCUGUCUGUGGAAUGAGCUCCCAGGUGAGGCUGAUGGGCCACAGACCACACUGCUCAGCUGUCCUCCUCCCCAGAUGCCUUCCUUUGGGUUUCCAAAUAUCUCCAGCCUUUCAGUCCUUUUAAGUCACUGGCCACUUUGUACCCUGAGUAACUAUGAUCAUUAAUAUCUAUAUUUCCCUAAGUCCCCUUGAUUUUUUUCAGCAUGGCUGUCACAUUAAUGUUUCAUUAAGUUAUGGUUUUUGUUGCAUUUUUCAUUACCCCAUGACGGAUGGCGGCUCUUUUCAACCAGGAGAGGAGGAGGGAGGAGAAAAAAAAAAAAAAGAACUCCAUAAGUGAUUUGAAAAUGAGCUGAAGACUGUCUUUUGAUCAUUAUCAAAGACACGGUAAAUAAUAAAUGAAGUGCAAAAGCCACAAGUUCUCGGUCCCCUAUGGUGAUGACGACCUGACGCUGAGCUUCCUCGGCCAGCCGAGUAGCAGGUGCUAAUGAAACCCUCCCCCUGGCGCUGCAGCCUCGGGAUGAUGAAGCUCACGCAGCUCGCAGCCUCGCCCUUGCUGCGGAAGACCAAGAGCAGCCCUUCUCCUGCCCGGGGCUGAGUUCCACCUCGGAGGAGGGCUGCGGCCAGCACCAUGGCCAGGACGCAGCUGGUGGAUGCACGUGACCUGCCCUUCAUCCUGGAGCUUUCCGGGACAGGAAGGGUGGCUCGCCCUUGAGCUGUCCACACCCACGAGGAGUCCUUGGGCAAACAGCUCCUUUGGCAUGUUCCUGGGGUGACUUGGCCUCUGUUAUGAAAAUACAAGAAGCCACCGGCACUGCCCAUUGCUGGCCGCGGCUUGGUGUCCUCUGCCUCACCUGGAGGGUCCACCUGCUCCUUGCCCUUUGCGUUGCUGCAGUUUUUGUAUGAAAAUAAAUUAGUUCCGUACUUCUA
rnacentral:lncRNA from 1 species